CCGCAGCCAGCUUGGCAGGAGGGACUGUGGCCCGAGUUGAGGGCAGAGGGGUGGCCAGGGUGGGAUCCCCCAGGGCCUUGCGGCCAAGCACAGGAGGAGUCGGGGUUAUAUCCUGGGUGCAGAGGGCAGCCGGGGGACAGCUUUGUAAGGACCCGUCUGAGCUGGGCCUCAGCGGCCCCCGGGAAGAAGCUUCAGCGUGGAAGGUGGAGCCUAGGCGUUGAGCCCCUGAACUCAGCCGGAGCCGAGCUGCGCCCCCGUGGGCUGGUCAGGGGAGGGGAAAGCCUGCCUCCGCAGGACCAGUGGAGACUCCGAAUCACACGGAGGACGGUGCCGUGCCGAUGCCCCCACACACCUGCUGGAGGGGGUCCAACAACAGACCGCCAAGCGCCUGUGAGAUGCUGGUCUGGGCCGGUGGGCACCAACAUCUCACGCACUUGGAAAUCUGUGGGGCGCUUCCCUGCACAGGCCUGCAGUGAACAGAGGAGGCCAUCGCCGUAAAGAGCUGACAUUUAUUAGGCGCUUACUGUGUGCCAAGCUCAUUCGGAACACCUGACGUGCGCCCCUUCUGUGAACUCCCACUAAGAGGAAGGACCAAUCCUGCGAGAUGCCCGUCACAGACACACCCAGAGGCCACGGGAAGGUGCCAACAUCUCCAGCUUGCCGGCUGUCUUCACCCCAGCCUGCGAGGGCUAUUCUGACUUGGACAGCCAUGCAGACUCUCGCGGGCAGCUGGGAGAGAGGACGGUGCAAACCCCAGGGAGGGCCCUUCACACACACCGGGGGGAGGGCAGUGGGCUUCCGGCAGCUGGCAACUUGGUUGCCAGACGGGACUUUGGGGCCUCUCAUUCCUGAGCAGUGCGUCUGAAAAACUCACAAAUUUUCUAACAUAACUCGGGGAGCCUUGAUUGUUAAUAAAACUGUCUCUU